AUUGAACGCUGGCGGCAGGCCUAACACAUGCAAGUCGAGCGGUAGAGAGGUGCUUGCAUCUCUUGAGAGCGGCGGACGGGUGAGUAAUGCCUAGGAAUCUGCCUAGUGGUGGGGGAUAACGUUCGGAAACGGACGCUAAUACCGCAUACGUCCUACGGGAGAAAGCGGGGGAUCUUCGGACCUCGCGCCAUUAGAUGAACCUAGGUCGGAUUAGCUAGUUGGUGAGGUAAUGGCUCACCAAGGCGACGAUCCGUAACUGGUCUGAGAGGAUGAUCAGUCACACUGGAACUGAGACACGGUCCAGACUCCUACGGGAGGCAGCAGUGGGGAAUAUUGGACAAUGGGCGAAAGCCUGAUCCAGCCAUGCCGCGUGUGUGAAGAAGGUCUUCGGAUUGUAAAGCACUUUAAGUUGGGAGGAAGGGUAGUAACCUAAUACGUUGCUACUUUGACGUUACCGACAGAAUAAGCACCGGCUAACUUCGUG
rnacentral:rRNA from 1 species